GGGAAUAAGAAGAAGGGGCAGCUCUAUAGGACAGGGGCCAAGACAGGGAGCUCUUUCACACUACGUGCGCACACACACACAAUGCAUCCCUAUACAUACACAGAAACACAACAUGCUUCCCUUACACACAGAGAAACACACAAUGCAUCCAUUACACACACACACACAAUGCAACCCUUACACACAAAGACAAUGCAUCCUUUGUACACAUACACAGAAACAGACAAUGCAAACCCGUACACAUGCAUGCAAAC